AGAGGGAAUACUGGGAAUAUCUGCUUCAUGGAGACGUUUGGAGGACGAGAGGAAGAAGAAAAGAGGACAUAAGACGAAGAACUGGAGUUUGUUGUGAGUUAGAAGAGGAAAUCAACGCCACCUGUUGAUGAGCGUUCAGUGAAAGCGACAAGCGAACAGCGUCUCGAACAACAAAGACAAACAAAGUGACUGUUUCUGGAUCUUUGGAUAUAUUGAUUGUUUGUUUGUUGCUCUGUCAAUAAUUAGACUUUAUUGUGUGUCUGAUGGCUGCAGGAGGACUGCUGCUGAGGCUCUGUGGGAACUAUGGAAGAGUCUUCAGUUUCUUACAGGUUGAAGGCUGAUGUCCAGAGUUACAGGAGGACUGGUGUUGACACGGCCUGCAGGAAACACAGAAGAGUCUUCAGAUAUUGGAGAGGUCCGUGGGGUGAAAUCCAACCUCAAAAUUAACCCAAAUGCCAUCGCUCCCAACCAGUACCCCGGACACGCUGCUGUAACAGUCUUCCACCGCAAUGCUGUGGUAUGUAUCUUACAUUAUUCUUGUAUAUGUAGUAGUGUCUAAUAUAACAUAGUUGUGUCUAGUUUAAUUUAAUUUAAUAUAAUGUAGUAUAAUAUAAUAGUGUCUAAUUUAAUUUAAUUUAAUAUAAUAUAGUAGUGUCUAAUUGAAUUGAAUUUAAUAUAAUUUAAUAUAAUAUAAUGUCUAAUUUAAUUUAAUAGAAUAGUGUUUAAUGUAAUAUGUAGUAUAAUAUAAUAUAGUAGUGUCUAAUUUAAUUUAAUAUAAUAGUGUUUAAUUUAAUAUAAAAGUAUUUAAUGGAAUAUAUAGUAUAAUAUAAUAUAGUACUGUCUAAUAUAAUGUAAUGUAAUAGUGUCUAAUUUAAUUUCAUAUAAUUUAAUAUAAUAUAAUAUAGUAGUGUUUAAUUUAAUAUAAUAGUGUCUCAUUUAAUUUCAUAUAAUAGUAUUCAAUGUAAUAUAGUAUAAUAUAAUAUAGUAGUGUCUAAUUUAAUGUAAUGUAAUAUAAUAGUGUUUAAUGUAAUAUAGUAUAGUAUAAAAUAAUAUAGUAGUGUCUAAUUUAAUUUAAUAAAUAAUAUAAUAGUAGUGUCUAAUAUAAU
rnacentral:lncRNA from 15 species